rfam:Nomascus leucogenys chromosome 14, whole genome shotgun sequence.
GCCGGGCGCAGUGACUUGUGCCUGUAAUCCCAUCACUUCGGGAGGCUGAGGCGGGAGGAUCACUUGAGCCCAGGAGUUUGAGACCAGCCUGGGCAACAUAGUGAGACCUCGUCUCUA